AACGAACGCUGGCGGCAUGCCUAACACAUGCAAGUCGAACGAGAUCUUCGGGUCUAGUGGCGCACGGGUGCGUAACGCGUGGGAAUCUGCCCCUUGGUUCGGAAUAACAGUUGGAAACGACUGCUAAUACCGGAUGAUGACGAAAGUCCAAAGAUCUAUCGCCAGAGGAUGAGCCCGCGUAGGAUUAGCUAGUUGGUGUGGUAAAGGCGCACCAAGGCGACGAUCCUUAGCUGGUCUGAGAGGAUGAUCAGCCACACUGGGACUGAGACACGGCCCAGACUCCUACGGGGGGCAGCAGUGGGGAAUAUUGGACAAUGGGCGAAAGCCUGAUCCAGCAAUGCCGCGUGAGUGAUGAAGGCCUUAGGGUUGUAAAGCUCUUUUACCCGGGAUGAUAAUGACAGUACCGGGAGAAUAAGCUCCGGCUAACUCCGUGCCAGCCGCCGCCGUAA
rnacentral:rRNA from 1 species